CCUACGGGAGGCUGCAGUGGGGAAUAUUGCACAAUGGGCGCAAGCCUGAUGCAGCCAUGCCGCGUGUGUGAAGAAGGCCUUCGGGUUGUAAAGCACUUUCAGCGGGGAGGAAGGCGUUAAGGUUAAUAACCUUGGCGAUUGACGUUGCCCGUAGAAGAAGCACCGGCUAACUCCGUGCCAGCAGCCGCGGUAAUACGGAGGGUGCAAGCGUUAAUCGGAAUUACUGGGCGUAAAGCGCACGCAGGCGGUCUGUCAAGUCGGAUGUGAAAUCCCCGGGCUCAACCUGGGAACUACAUUCGAAACUGGCAGGCUAGAGUCUUGUAGAGGGGGGUAGAAUUCCAGGUGUAGCGGUGAAAUGCGUAGAGAUCUGGAGGAAUACCGGUGGCGAAGGCGGCCCCCUGGACAAAGACUGACGCUCAGGUGCGAAAGCGUGGGGAGCAAACAGGAUUAGAUACCCGGGUAGUC
rnacentral:rRNA from 1 species